rnacentral:rRNA from 1 species
UACGGAGGGGGCAAGCGUUAUUCGGAAUUAUUGGGCGUAAAGGGCGCGUAGGCGGCUUGACAAGUCAGGGGUGAAAUCCCUCGGCUCAACCGGGGAACUGCCUCUGAAACUGUCAAGCUUGAGUCCGGGAGAGGGUAGUGGAAUUCCCAGUGUAGCGGUGAUAUGCGUAGAUAUUGGGAGGAACACCAGUGGCGAAAGCGGCUACCUGGACCGGUACUGACGCUGAGGCGCGAAAGCGUGGGGAGCAAACAGG